rnacentral:rRNA from 1 species
AUUGAACGCUGGCGGCAUGCCUUACACAUGCAAGUCGAACGGCAGCACGGGUGCUUGCACCUGGUGGCGAGUGGCGAACGGGUGAGUAAUACAUCGGAACAUAUCCUGUAGUGGGGGAUAGCCCGGCGAAAGCCGGAUUAAUACCGCAUACGAUCCACGGAUGAAAGCGGGGGACCUUCGGGCCUCGCGCUAUAGGGUUGGCCGAUGGCUGAUUAGCUAGUUGGUGGGGUAAAGGCCUACCAAGGCGACGAUCAGUAGCUGGUCUGAGAGGACGACCAGCCACACUGGGACUGAGACACGGCCCAGACUCCUACGGGAGGCAGCAGUGGGGAAUUUUGGACAAUGGGCGAAAGCCUGAUCCAGCAAUGCCGCGUGUGUGAAGAAGGCCUUCGGGUUGUAAAGCACUUUUGUCCGGAAAGAAAUCCUUGACUCUAAUACAGUCGGGGGAUGACGGUACCGGAAGAAUAAGCACCGGCUAACUACGUG